AAGUCUCGGGGAGUCAACCUAGGGCACCAAGCCCCCACCCAGUACCCGGCGGGCCCCAGCGGGCGCGGAGAGAGAUGCGCGUUUCAGGCAGAGGUCCUCUCCUCCGGUUUUCGCGACCCUGGCGGGACCCUCUGCCCUGCAAACUCCCACCUGGGACCGCGGCUCCGGCAGGUCAAGAUCCCUAGUGGAAGGCAGGUCAGGGGCCUGAAGGUAGACCCUUUUCUCUUUCUCCCAGCCAGGCGAUGCCCCUGCGGCCUGGGGCGGCGGCGUUGGGUGCUGCAGAGCCCGGGAACUUCCCACCCAGAGGAAAGGCCGCUUCAUCCCGGACCCCGCUGUUCUCCGCGCCCCCGGCACUGCCCAUCAGCACCGUGGGUAGGGGUCUUUAGAGCCUCUGCGGGCAGCCCAGGGAGACCACCAACCCAUAGGCCCUUGGGCCCCAGGGAGGCUCAGGUGAGCAGCGCUUGUCCUCCGGACUGUUGGCCGUUCUGGCGGAUCUGCUUCUGUUCCUCGGGCCAGCCGGCUCCACCCCGCGUCUCUGGAUUCCGGGACAUCGGACAUCUGGCUCCCACCACGCCUUGUGCAGGUAACGA
rnacentral:lncRNA from 1 species